CCUAAGGAUCUCCUUAGAUCCACAAAUUAUUCAAAAGAUCACUAG
rfam:Picea glauca, whole genome shotgun sequence.